rnacentral:rRNA from 1 species
GCAAGUCGAACGAGAAAGCCACUUCGGUGGUUAUUAGAGUGGCGCACGGGUGAGUAACACGUAGGUGACCUGCCCUUUGAUGGGGAAUAACUCUUAGAAAUGAGAGCUAAUACCGCAUAAGAUCGCUAAUUUUGAAAGUAAGCGAUGAAAGAUUGCCUCUAUACUAUGCAAUCGUCGAAGGAUGGGCCUGCGCGAUAUUAGUUUGUUGGUGGGGUAAUGGCUUACCAAGACUACGAUAUCUAGCCGGUUUGAGAGAAUGAUC